UCGAUGGGAAAUGCACUGAUCAUGUUUAUGGGUAAAUCCAAAAGCGGGGUGCUGCCAUGAUGAUGCUCGCCCUGUGUCUGUUGGCGGAAGGAGUCGUCACUACGAGCCACCACCUCUGUGUCUUGGCCACUGGACAGGAGGUUGUUGACAUCCAUCACCAUGUCUUCCAGGAAUUCCAGAUUCUGUGGUUUCGAACCUCCACAAGUAAGGGUGAUAGGGAAGACUGACACUGGUUUUAAAUGGACAGCACAAAGGAUGGGCCACAUUGUUCUUCCUGAGCUCUUAAACAGAGGAAAAUGGACAUACUCCAUACCAGACUUUGAUGUGAUCCUGACCUCCCUUGGUGUCUUCAGAAGUGUCCUGGUGGU